UUGAGAUUGUAAUGGUAUAAAGUGGGACGAUACGGAGGAAAUGGGCUUUUCCUCCGCUGCUCUCCCCGUGAAAUGUGCCCCGUGCAACAUGGAGAGGCGGGGGGAGGCAGGGGGAUCCUCCCACACCGUGCAGCGGACUCUAAAGGAGACUUUUAGCGUCAAUAACGACGACAAUGGCAUCUGACCAAACGUCCUUAUUUUACGAGAUGGGAGUGAGAAUGUGUUGCCACAAAGCUUCUUAAGCAUUUUAUUUUGGUGCUGUCACUUGUCAUCUUGGAGCUUGGGAGUGAGAAAAAAAAUAUGAAUUAUAGGCUACAUUGUUUUA